GCGAACGCUGGCGGCGUGCUUACCACAUGCAAGUCGAACGGAAAGGCCCUGCUUUUGUGGGGUGCUCGAGUGGCGAACGGGUGAGUAACACGUGAGUAACCUGCCCUUGACUUUGGGAUAACUUCAGGAAACUGGGGUUAAUACCGGAUAGGAGUUCCUGCUGCAUGGUGGGGGUUGGAAAUUUUCGGCGGUUGGGGAUGGACUCGCGGCUUAUCAGCUUGUUGGUGGGGUAGUGGCUUACCAAGGCUUUGACGGGUAGCCGGCCUGAGAGGGUGACCGGCCACAUUGGGACUGAGAUACGGCCCAGACUCCUACGGGAGGCAGCAGUGGGGAAUAUUGCACAAUGGGCGGAAGCCUGAUGCAGCAACGCCGCGUGCGGGAUGACGGCCUUCGGGUUGUAAACCGCUUUCGCCUGUGACGAAGCGUGAGUGACGGUAAUGGGUAAAGAAGCACCGGCUAACUACGUG
rnacentral:rRNA from 1 species